UGACCCUUUGCCUUAUCACACAUGUGCUA
rnacentral:piRNA from 1 species